AGCAGAGAAUUGGUACAUGGGCGGCAAUUUUUUCCUCUUAUUUUCUUUCAUCAGGCGGCUUCUCAAACACGCUCUCUCCUUUCUCUUCAAUCAAUCCUUAAAACCCUAAUAUCAAUUUCAUACACGCACCGCCACGUUCUAAUACUAUUUUCCUUACUUCAUUCACCAUUUUGAUUCAUCUUUUUCCUAUCAAGAACCCAAAAUUUAUGCUUUUCCUAUGUCUAAUCGUUUUCUUUAUAUUUGAUUCUGUAAAAGAAAAACAAGAAAGAGAGAGAGAGAGAGAGAGAGAGAGAGGGAGCAGAUAAAAGAUGCAGAAGGGAGAUGAGGUCAUCUUCUCCGAUGACUGGUGUCGGCGAUAAGGUUUUCUUAGUAAUCUGCGGCGACAGUGAUUCCAAGGUUGUUGUCAUCGGUGGUUAUCAAAGACAGGUUCGUUUCACAUCCAAUUUUCCAAAGGUUCGUUUCGAUUUAGGGUUGGCCGAUUGUCACUGGUUUUCUAAUUGCAAUAAGAGAACAAAAACUGAAAUUGGAAGGGUAGUGGUGGCCGACAAGAUUUUGGCUGCAUCGCAUAAGGUGGAAAGAGGCAAACUGAUUGAAAAGGUUUUCCGGUGAAGCAACUGGCGCCCUCAGCAGAAUGAUAUGAUAGGGUUAGCGCCUAAAAGAAUUCGUUAUGACCACCGAGCUUCACUCUUGAUUCCACAGAUGAAUUGAGCAUCUCGGGUGGACAAAUAGUGCAUGUGGUUUCUUGGCCAUUGCUCACUAUAGCACUUUCUGGAAUAAUGGGAGUAGUUCCACUAAAGAUUCUGCUCGCUUAACAAAUGGGUACUUGGAUACAAAUCUACAAUCAUAGAUUAUUUAGUUGAUGCUAUUCAAUUAUGGCAUGGAUAAUAAUAGAGGUUCUUAAUGCUACUUAUAGUUUCUAUGCAAAGCUAAGGUCAGUUAUCGUUGAUGCUAAGAGGACAAAACUAAAGAAAAAAUAGUCGCUUUUAAGAAAAAAAAUAGCCACUUUUAUGUACUAAAAAUACACUUCAUGGAUAUUCGACCCUUUUUCUUUUUAACUGUUUAUUUCUUUUCAACAGUUUAUUUUUUUGUUUUGAUCGUUUGAUGUGCAAGUCAAGAUUGUUUAGCUGGGUUGAUCCAAAGUUCUUUUGUCCAAAACUGCUGGUGCCGAGUUAGGUCUGGUUAGUUCAAUUCAUCCAUCCGGUGUCUAAGUUAAAAAUAAAACAUAAAAAAGUUUAUAGUUUUUUUUUUAAUUUUCGACGGGUAGGUUUUGAGGGUGGUAGAACCCGAUGGCAGAAGAUGAAUGUGAAUGCUAUAAUGGUGUAUUUCUUGAAAAAAAAGGAGAGGGGGUGGGGGGUGUUUAGGGUAGUGGUGUCACCAAAUUGGGUAGUUUAGGGAAGUGGAUGGAGCGAGGGACAUGACACUGUAGAAUUUAUGGAGGUUAGAGUAAGUUAGGCAAGUGACCCUUCCCCUUACACAGUGCUAAGGUCCUUCACUAAUGUCAAACUGCGUAGAGUUUUAUCAAAGGUCCCAUCGACCAUGUCCUGCUGAUUUCCGCUUAUUACCAGAUAAAUUUAUUUUCUCUGAUCAUUUCAACAUGUUUUUUACAGGCUUUUAAUGUGAAUUAUGUUUAGAAUAAGGCAUUUAAAUUUGCACUGUUUACGAGCAUAAAGUUAGUUGUUAUCGGCUCGGUGAGAUUUUUUAACACUUUAUUUUUUAUUAUAUUACAAUAUAUAAAUUUGUUUUAAGAAGCGGGUUGAAUAAUGACUCAAAAUGGGUUUGGAUUAAUAUGGUCACUGUUGGUGCAGGGCAAAAAUGAGUCGGGUUCACAUGUAAACUUUUAACCCUUUUUUUAUUUUUUUAUAAAUACUUAAUAAAAAUAAAUUAAAUUUUAUGAUUUUUUGUAUUUGACCAGUUUGACCAAUUUUCUUUUUUGUUUAGUUCUUUAUUUUGACCCGUUGAGAAUAAAAUAACCAAAACACCAAUUUUUAGGUAAAUAAGUCCAUGUAAAGGUCAGGCAAGUUACCAUUUUACAUUCUCUGACAGCUAUUGUUCUCCUGUGUAUUUUUAGAGAAUCCGUUGUUCUCAAAUUUAGUUCUUUUUAGAUACUAUCUUUCACUCAGUGACCAAAGAAUCGUUGUCAAAAAUUUCAUUAUUAGGCUUUGAGUUUGAGGUAAACAAAGUUGUAUUACUAGCUUUAGUUCCUAAAAUUCGAGAUGUGAGGCGUUAAGCGAGAGCUUUAUGUACACGAGGCGUUGUUUUUUGUACAACCAAAUAAGUUUUUUGUACAAUUAAAAGUCUUUUCAUUAAGCAAACCAUUCAUGAUCUCCUAAUCCUUUUAAUCACUCUUACAUAUUAGCUUUCUACAAGCCCAAUUACUUUUACACAGUUUACAUGAAGCGCCCGACCUUGAGGCAUUUUUUAGACUUCCUUGAGUUCCUUAUACCUCCUGAUGCGCUUUACAAAUUUUCUGAUCAAAUUUUAACAGGUUGGAAGAACGACUCUUGGUGGUUUGUUUGCUUUGGGAUAUAACAAUGUUCUCUGUUAUAAAUGGGCAUCUAAAGUCUAAACCACUUUUUUAGGUCUCAAUAGUUGCCUCGGCCACAUAAUUUGAUCAACAAUUUGAUCUAAAUGCACUUUUGCUUUAGAUCUUUGUUUUUUGUGUAGAUUUAAAGCAGUCUCUAUACAACCAUACGAUUUAGAUUGCGAUGAUGUUUUUUUAAAUCUUUUAAUUCACUAUUUUAUAAAAGGUUUAUGUUGGUCUCUUUUCAUCAGGUUGUUUCAACUGCAGAUUUUAUCUCACUUCAUAUGUCGCUUAUCUAUGCUACUUCAAAGGUGUUUAAUGAUGUAACCUUUGCAAAGAUGAAGAAAGGAGUCCAGAUCAUCAAUGUGGCACGACGUGUAGUGAUCGAUGAAGAUGCCUUAGUGAGGGACCAUGAUACUGGAAUUAUUGCACAAGGAUCGUUAGAUGUGUGCAUGAGCUUUACAAGGUGAACUUUCUUCAAAUUACGCUAACACGACUAUGGUCAGUCCCCCUUUAGGUAACUUCUAUCUGAGAAGUUGGGAAUCUGUGUUAUGGAGUGUGGUCAUGUCGGGUUCUGGAGAUACUUGGGAAUGGGAUUUUCAGGCUGUCGGCUCAACCUAUUUUUGCUUUUGGAGUUACAGACCUUCUAAACCUUCAUAACUUUCACGAGGUUCCUUUAAAAGGAAGAAGUCUAUUCAGGCUAUUUUGAAUACAGUUUUCCGGUGGCAUCUCAGGAAUAGUGUUCUGUUUGAUCAAGCUCAACUGUUGACUAGGCAAAGUGGUUGAAGAGACUAAAGUUAUGGGAUACUUAUGGGUCAAUAAUAGAUCGAAGGAGUAGGCGAUUAAUUGGCAGAAUUGGUGAUAGUUUGAUGAAUUUAUGUAAUUGUUUGUGUUCUGUUUGUUCGACGACGGGCAAACCUACAGA